GGCCCAACUAUUCAUGUAACAGAAAGACAAAUUUGAUUAAGCGUUCAAUCUACUCGAUCAUGUACAAUACAUGAUCAGUGACUGACGCCUCCUCUCACAUACAGGUAUUAAAUAUAGCACAGAAGGUUUUAUGUCUCUCCACAUCCUCAGGGGUAUCGAAGGACUCAUUCAAUAUUUGAAUCAUAUCCUCUGGUUGCACAUCCUCAAGCUUACAACUAAGUUCAUCAUUCAUGGCUGCCCUCAUAAUAUAACAUACCAUCGUGCGGUCACUGAGCCACUUCAAAUAAGUAUCUCUCGCAGCAUGGAGUGCAUUGACAGUAGGUUCUUCAAGUGAUGGAUCUGUAAGCACGUACAGGAUCCUCUCAUGCUCUAAGAUGAUUUUCAACUUCCGAUACUAGCUAUCAAAGUUGGAUCUGAUAAGCUUGUCGUUGUCUAACAGCGAACGGAACGAUAGUGUGUUGGCCAUAGCUGAAAAGAAGAAACAUAAACCUAUUAGUAUAUGAAUUAUUUUAAUCCUAAAAAUAUGGACUUUAGUCUAAAGGUGCUUCCACUAUUUUAUAUGAAUUGAUAGUCUCUACCUCCAAUUCUAGAAAUUAUAUUAAUUUUUUAGCGGGUACUAGAAUCCACACAGAUUGUAUUCGGACCUGAGUGUGGCUCGAUCAAUCCUAGUGCAUCCAUGGGUAGGUUCAUAAGCAAUUAUUUCUCUAAACAACUUCUAGCAAUUAUGUUUUGCUCUAGACAUGUCUUCAAUAGGUGUGUGGCACCUCCACUG
rnacentral:lncRNA from 1 species